AGCGAACGCUGGCGGCAGGCCUAACACAUGCAAGUCGAACGAUCCUUCGGGAUAGUGGCGGACGGGUGAGUAACACGUGGGAACGUGCCCUUUGGUUCGGAACAACUCAGGGAAACUUGAGCUAAUACCGGAUGUGCCCUUCGGGGGAAAGAUUUAUCGCCAUUGGAGCGGCCCGCGUCUGAUUAGCUAGUUGGUGAGGUAAUGGCUCACCAAGGCGACGAUCAGUAGCUGGUCUGAGAGGAUGAUCAGCCACACUGGGACUGAGACACGGCCCAGACUCCUAUGGGAGGCAGCAGUGGGGAAUCUUGCGCAAUGGGCGAAAGCCUGACGCAGCCAUGCCGCGUGAAUGAUGAAGGUCUUAGGAUUGUAAAAUUCUUUCACCGGGGACGAUAAUGACGGUACCCGGAGAAGAAGCCCCGGCUAACUACGUGCCAGCAGCCGCCGUAAUAC
rnacentral:rRNA from 1 species